UGUUUGAAAAUGCUUGGAUUAACAAGCUGAAAACAUCGCCUCUGUAUGUAAACCUCGAAGACGAAGGGGGGAGUGCUGAUGGCCGGGUUUCAAUGGGACCAAACAACCAAACAGGACACGGUGUUGGUAACAUCCUUGGAUAUGUUCCGCGCGACAUUGACGUUAGGUCCGAAUGGCGCAAGGCGGGUGCUAAAUCAAGGCUCACAUAGUAGUGACGAAGACGAUGUCUUUGUCACCCCUACUGAACAAUUUGUUAGAUAGAUGUUGAAAUAAUACCAAGAAAAGAAAGAAACAAAGAAACACAUGUGUUCCCCCACUGUACAGUGGGGGGAAAUGAUACCAAUGUGAGGAGAACUACACGAGCAGCAGAGGAUGUCGUGGAAAUGGAAGUUAUCAAUGUGGUGGACAGUAAGUCCAAGUCUAGGAGUGCGGCUGCUGUGAAAAGGGGAUGAACAACAAUAAAAUGUGGAAAAAGAAAAUUGGCCUUAACUAAAUAUCCAAAUGGGAGUAGAUGAUGAUGCUAGGGCAGCAGUGAAAAAACAGAAAACUCAUAGUCAACGGUGGCCACCGUAGACAACGGUGUUGACUGUGGCAUUUUUGUCAUGAGGCAUAUGGAGACAUAUAUGGGGGAAAUGACAAUCAGAAAAUCAUUGCUCAAUAAGUUGAGGAUUGUCCACAACCACAAACUUCUGUCAUGGGAGAAAAACACAAAGAAUGAUAUUGUGAUAAGUGGUACUAUGAGAUUAGCAAAGGGGAAGAAAGUUGUAGGAUUGGAUGACUAUUAGGCUUUAUUGAAUUUGACAGUUGUUUAAAAUAGUAUCCUGCACUAUUGUCUUUUAUUUAUUGCUAAAAAUCUUA